AUUGAACGCUGGCGGCAUGCUUUACACAUGCAAGUCGAACGGCAGCGCGGGGGCAACCCUGGCGGCGAGUGGCGAACGGGUGAGUAAUGCAUCGGAACGUAUCCUGUAAUGGGGGAUAACGUAGCGAAAGUUACGCUAAUACCGCAUACGCUCGAGAGAGGAAAGUGGGGGAUCGCAAGACCUCACGUUAUAGGAGCGGCCGAUGUCCGAUUAGCUAGUUGGUGGGGUAAAGGCCUACCAAGGCGACGAUCGGUAACUGGUCUGAGAGGAUGAUCAGCCACACU
rnacentral:rRNA from 1 species